UGAGUAUGACAAAUAAGAUAUUGGAUUAUUUACAACGAUAUUUACAACCGUCGACUGAAUUGCUAUAUCCUGGAUGUAUAAAUAGAGCUGGCUUAACUCAGAGUAGCCAAUAUUUUCAGGUGAUACGAGUGAGAUCAACAUCAAAUUCUUAAAGACGAAAGAGAGCUUAUAGAAAUUAUCAGAAUCAUCAAUCUUCGCCAACUACGAACAUGAAGACUACCCUCCUUAUUGCCUUGGUGUUCUCAGCCAUCCUUGCAACAACCCAAGCCCUUAGUUGUCUCCCAUGUCACGAAGUAACCUGUCCUUCAUUACACAAGCUGAACUGCAAAGGAGGAUUAACUCGAGACGCUUGUGGUUGUUGUGUUGCGUGUGCAAAACUCAGAGGGGAGAAAUGUGGAGGACCAUGGAACAUUGAAGGUGUCUGUGACUGUGGCUUGAGAUGCUCCAAAGGCCCAGAUUUUAAUGCUGUUGGCGCAUGCAGAAGCAGGCUGCAAGCGUAUUUGCAUGGAAGAAAUUAAGGAUGACAAGAGUAGAAGGCUACAAUGAAGAAUCGUUUAAUUUGCUUCUUUGACACUUUGUUAAAUUUCACCGUAAACUUUCAAUUAAGUUUUUUAUUUCUUGGCAUGAUUUUUAGACAUUGAAUUACUUGUUAUAAUGAGAUUGAAUAAACUUGCUCCAAAAAGAAUGGCGUA